UGCAAUGGACUUAACAGGCACUACCUGA
rnacentral:piRNA from 1 species